rnacentral:rRNA from 1 species
UACGAAGGGGGCAAGCGUUGUUCGGAAUUACUGGGCGUAAAGGGCGCGUAGGCGGCUUAUCAAGUCAGGCGUGAAAUUCCCGGGCUCAACCUGGGGGCUGCGCUUGAUACUGAUGAGCUUGAAUGCGGGAGAGGAUAGUGGAAUUCCCAGUGUAGAGGUGAAAUUCGUAGAUAUUGGGAGGAACACCGGUGGCGAAGGCGACCGCCUGGACGAUGACUGACGCUGAGGCGCGAGAGCGUGGGGAGCAAACAGG